GACGAACGCUGGCGGCGUGCUUAGCACAUGCAAGUCGAACGGAAAGGCCCUGCUUUUGUGGGGUGCUCGAGUGGCGAACGGGUGAGUAACACGUGAGUAACCUGCCCUUGACUUUGGGAUAACUUCAGGAAACUGGGGCUAAUACCGGAUAGGAGCUCCUGCUGCAUGGUGGGGGUUGGAAAGUUUCGGCGGUUGGGGAUGGACUCGCGGCUUAUCAGCUUGUUGGUGGGGUAGUGGCUUACCAAGGCUUUGACGGGUAGCCGGCCUGAGAGGGUGACCGGCCACAUUGGGACUGAGAUACGGCCCAGACUCCUACGGGAGGCAGCAGUGGAGAAUAUUGCACAAUGGGCGGAAGCCUGAUGCAGCAACGCCGCGUGCGGGAUGACGGCCUUCGGGUUGUAAACCGCUUUCGCCUGUGACGAAGCGUGAGUGACGGUAAUGGGUAAAGAAGCACCGGCUAACUACGUG
rnacentral:rRNA from 1 species